rnacentral:rRNA from 1 species
GCGGCGUGCUUACACAUGCAAGUCGAACGAUGAAGGUGGGAGCUUGCUCCUACUGGAUUAGUGGCGAACGGGUGAGUAACACGUGAGCAAUCUGCCCCUGACUCUGGGAUAAGCGUUGGAAACGACGUCUAAUACCGGAUACGAGCUGGGACCGCAUGGUCACCAGCUGGAAAGAACUUUGGUCAGGGAUGAGCUCGCGGCCUAUCAGCUUGUUGGUGAGGUAAUGGCUCACCAAGGCGACGACGGGUAGCCGGCCUGAGAGGGUGACCGGCCACACUGGGACUGAGACACGGCCCAGACUCCUACGGGAGGCAGCAGUGGGGAAUAUUGCACAAUGGGCGCAAGCCUGAUGCAGCAACGCCGCGUGAGGGACGAAGGCCUUCGGGUUGUAAACCUCUUUUAGCAGGGAAGAAGCGAAAGUGACGGUACCUGCAGAAAAAGCGC